rnacentral:rRNA from 1 species
AGAGUUUGAUCAUGGCUCAGGACGAACGCUGGCGGCGUGCUUAACACAUGCAAGUCGAACGGAAAGGCCCUUCGGGGUACUCGAGUGGCGAACGGGUGAGUAACACGUGGGUGAUCUGCCCUGCACUUUGGGAUAAGCCUGGGAAACUGGGUCUAAUACCGAAUAUGACCAUGCACUUCCUGGUGUGUGGUGGAAAGCUUUUGCGGUGUGGGAUGGGCCCGCGGCCUAUCAGCUUGUUGGUGGGGUAAUGGCCUACCAAGGCGACGACGGGUAGCCGGCCUGAGAGGGUGACCGGCCACACUGGGACUGAGAUACGGCCCAGACUCCUACGGGAGGCAGCAGUGGGGAAUAUUGCGCAAUGGGCGCAAGCCUGAUGCAGCGACGCCGCGUGAGGGAUGACGGCCUUCGGGUUGUAAACCUCUUUCAGCACAGACGAAGCGCAAGUGACGGUAUGUGCAGAAGAAGGACCGGCCAACUACGUGCCAGCAGCCGCGGUAAUACGUAGGGUCCGAGCGUUGUCCGGAAUUACUGGGCGUAAAGAGCUCGUAGGUGGUUUGUCGCGUUGUUCGUGAAAACUCACAGCUUAACUGUGGGCGUGCGGGCGAUACGGGCAGACUUGAGUACUGCAGGGGAGACUGGAAUUCCUGGUGUAGCGGUGGAAUGCGCAGAUAUCAGGAGGAACACCGGUGGCGAAGGCGGGUCUCUGGGCAGUAACUGACGCUGAGGAGCGAAAGCGUGGGGAGCGAACAGGAUUAGAUACCCUGGUAGUCCAA